CAGGAACGCUGGCGGCAGGCUUAACACAUGCAAGUCGAGCGCCCCGCAAGGGGAGCGGCAGACGGGUGAGUAACGCGUGGGAAUCUACCCAUCUCUACGGAAUAACGCAUGGAAACGUGUGCUAAUACCGUAUACGUCCUUCGGGAGAAAGAUUUAUCGGAGAUGGAUGAGCCCGCGUUGGAUUAGCUGGUUGGUGGGGUAAAGGCCUACCAAGGCGACGAUCCAUAGCUGGCCUGAGAGGAUGAUCAGCCACACUGGGACGGAGACACGGCCCUGACUCCUACGGUAGGCAACAGUGUGGAAUAUUGGACAAUGGGAGCAAGCCUGUUCCAGCCAUGCCGCGUGAGUGAUGAAGGCCCUAGGGUUGUAAAGCUCUUUCACCAGUGAAGAUAAUGACGGUACCCGGAGAAGAAGCCCCGGCUAACUUCGUGCCAGCCGCCGCAGUAAUAC
rnacentral:rRNA from 1 species